CCUACGGGGGGCUGCAGUGGGGAAUAUUGGACAAUGGGCGAAAGCCUGAUCCAGCAAUGCCGCGUGUGUGAAGAAGGCCUUCGGGUUGUAAAGCACUUUUAGUGGGGAAGAAAGCCUUGGGGCUAAUACCCUCGAGGAAGGACAUCACCCACAGAAGAAGCACCGGCUAACUCCGUGCCAGCAGCCGCGGUAAUACGGAGGGUGCGAGCGUUAAUCGGAAUUACUGGGCGUAAAGCGCGCGUAGGCGGGUUGAUAAGCCGGUUGUGAAAGCCCCGGGCUCAACCUGGGAACGGCAUCCGGAACUGUCAAGCUUGAGUGCAGGAGAGGAAGGUAGAAUUCCCGGUGUAGCGGUGAAAUGCGUAGAGAUCGGGAGGAAUACCAGUGGCGAAGGCGGCCUUCUGGGCUGACACUGACGCUGAGGUGCGAAAGCGUGGGUAGCAAACAGGAUUAGAUACCCCGGUAGUC
rnacentral:rRNA from 1 species